rnacentral:rRNA from 1 species
CCUACGGGGGGCUGCAGUGGGGAAUAUUGCACAAUGGGCGCAAGCCUGAUGCAGCCAUGCCGCGUGUGUGAAGAAGGCCUUCGGGUUGUAAAGCACUUUCAGCGGGGAGGAAGGCGGUGAGGUUAAUAACCUCAUCGAUUGACGUUACCCGCAGAAGAAGCACCGGCUAACUCCGUGCCAGCAGCCGCGGUAAUACGGAGGGUGCAAGCGUUAAUCGGAAUUACUGGGCGUAAAGCGCACGCAGGCGGUCUGUCAAGUCGGAUGUGAAAUCCCCGGGCUCAACCUGGGAACUGCAUUCGAAACUGGCAGGCUAGAGUCUUGUAGAGGGGGGUAGAAUUCCAGGUGUAGCGGUGAAAUGCGUAGAGAUCUGGAGGAAUACCGGUGGCGAAGGCGGCCCCCUGGACAAAGACUGACGCUCAGGUGCGAAAGCGUGGGGAGCAAACAGGAUUAGAUACCGGGUAGUC